UGCAUAUCAGCCCCAUAGGAGAAGUAGACCUCAAGCUUUCAUCCCCCUCUAUUUCGCAAAUCGUUCAGUGAAAUCGAAUUCUAGACGCGUAUUCCCCGAUGACUUGAGCGAAUGAGCAUAUGGUGCGUUUUGGUCACAAAGGUGUGGCUUAGAGGGUAGAGAAGUAUCAAGGUGAAAUAGGCUUAUGUUCAUAAGCCUGCGAGGUUAGAGUCGACAUUAUGUCAGUGGUGUUGCGCAGCUUUGCAUCUUUGGUGAGUACUGGUGGUCAACUUGGUUUAGUAGAUGUGGCAUGUUGUGUAAUAGUUUAAUCUUUAACCUUCCGCUGGAUAAAUGUUACGUUUUUAAAUGUAAUAGAUUUUAAUUGUGC